UACCAGGGCAGAAUGCUGAUAGAGCCAAU
rnacentral:piRNA from 1 species